CGUCGUUCUCCUCCGCCACGCUCACGCCGGUCGCCUGCUGCUCCGACGGCUAGCCCGCGCACCUUUCGAAGCCGCCACUGACGACGCACGUAGCCCCAGUCUUCUUCCCCGACGACACACACACAUUCUUUCCCCCUCGAUUUGCUUCUCUUUCUUUUCUUUCUUCUUUCUCACCAUAUCAGCUUUUGGUCCCUGCAAGUUUCUUUCUUACCUUUUGGUCCCUCAACUUUUUUAAUUACAACAGUUUCGUCCUGUAAAAUUUUCAACUUUUCAUUAACUUUUCAAUUAAGCCCCUAACUAAUUAAUCUGUGCCAAAUU
rnacentral:lncRNA from 1 species